UCAAGCUACUAAGGGCACGUGGUGGAUGCCUCGGUGUACAGGGCCGAAGAAGGGCGUAGUGAGACUGCGAUAAGCCUCGGGGAGCUGUCUAACAAGCUUAGCCGGGGAUACCCGAAUUGGACAACCUGCCCAGGCAAAACUUGGGCACUCUUGGCUAAACACAUAGGCCAAGAAGAGGGAACCAGGGGAACUGAAACAUCUUAGUACCCUGAGGAAAAGAAAUCAACAGAGAUUCCCCUAGUAGUGGCGAACGAACGGGGAACAGCCUAAACCCUAAGGGAAGAUUGGUCUUGGAACUUAUGCCUUUAGGGGGUUGUAAGGCGUAGCAGCCUGAUCCAAGUCAGGCACAGAGUAAGAAACCUUGACUCUAGCCAAAAGUCCCUGGAAAGGGCUACUCAAGAAGGUGAUAGUCCUGUAGGCGAAAGGGUUGAGGCUCUGGUUACGUCCUUGAGUACCGCGGGACACGUGGAAUCCCGCGGGAAGCUGGGGGGACCAUCCUCCAAGGCUAAACACCCUAACAACCGAUAGUGAACUAGUACCGUGAGGGAAAGGUGAAAAGCACCCCGGGAGGGGAGUGAAAUAGAACCUGAAACCAUGUGCCUACAAGCGGUCAGAGCCUGCCGCAAGGCGGGUGAUGGCGUGCCUAUUGAAGAAUGAACCGGCGAGUUGAUCUACGUCGCUAGGUUAAGCAACUGGAGUUGCGGAGCCGAAGCGAAAGCGAGUCCGAAUAGGGCGUUGUGACUUGUUCACAGGUGGCGUGGAUCAGACGCGAAUCCGUGUGAGCUACCCAUGGCCAAGGUGAAGCGGGAGUGAAAUCUCGUGGAGGCCUGAACCGGUCAGUGUGGCAAAACUGUCGGAUGAGCUGUGGGUAGGGGUGAUAUGCCAAACGAACUCGGAGAUAGCUCGUUCUCCCCGAAAUGUAUUGAGGUACAGCCUCAGGGAUUGAACUAUGGAGGUAGGGCACUGGAUGGGCUAGGGGGAGAGUAUCUUACCAAACCCAACCAAACCACCAAUGCCAUAGCUUGUACCCUGGGAGUGAGACUGUGGGGGCUAAGCUUCACAGUCGAGAGGGAAAUAGCCCAGACCAUCAGCUAAGGUCCCCAAGAUAGGCUAAGUGGGAAAGGAAGUGGAGUUGCUCAGACAGCCAGGAUGUUGACUUAGAAGCAGCCAUCAUCUAAGGAGUGCGUAACAGCUCACUGGUCGAGUGAUUCUGCGCCGACAAUCCAACGGGGCUCAAGCCUAUCACCGAAGCUAUGGAAUCGCCGCAAGGCGAUUGGUAGGGGAGCGUUCUCUUCGCAGCGAAGUUCUGAUGUGAGUCAGGGUGGAGCGUAGAGAAGUGAGAAUGCCGGUAUGAGUAGCGUUAAGGUGUGUGAAAAACACAUCCACCGAAAGCCUGAGGUUUCCUAUCCAACGUUAAUCGGGGUAGGGUUAGUCGGGCCUAAGUUGAGGCCGAAAGGCGUAAGCGAUGGACAGCUGGUUAAUAUUCCAGCACCGCUUGUCUCGUUAGGCUACUGGUGACACAGGAAGGUAGGUUGAGCGUGCCCAUUGGACAUGGUGCGUUCUUCCGACUUUGUCGGAAGGGAAGCGGAGGGGAGACCCGAGGCGACUCAACUGAUCCUAGGCUGUCAAGAAAAGCCCGGUAGUUUGUGGCAAGCGUCCGUACUGCAAACCGACACUGGUAGGCAAGGGCAAGUACCCUAAGGUGGACGAGAUAACCCUCGUUAAGGAACUCGGCAAGUUGACCCCGUAACUUAGGGAUAAGGGGGCCCCACUUUGUGGGGCGCAGAGAAAAGGCCCAGGCGGCUGUUUAACUAAAACACAGGUCUCUGCCAAAGCGUAAGCUGAGGUAUAGGGGCUGAUACCUGCCCAGCGCCGGAAGGUUAAGGGGAGGGGUUAGAGGAUCUUCGGAAAAUCGAAGCCCUGAACCGAAGCCCCGGUAAGCGGCGGCCGUAACUAUAACGGUCCUAAGGUAGCGAAAUCCCUUGUCGGGUAAGUUCCGACCUGCACGAAAGGUGUAACGACCCGGGCGCUGUCUCAACGAGGGGCUCGGUGAAAUUGAAGUACGCGUGAAGAUGCGCGUUACCCGCGACGGGACAAAAAGACCCCGUGGAGCUUUACUAUAAUUUGGCACUGGAUUAGGACUUGGCAUGUGUAGGAUAGGUGGGAGGCUGGGAAGCUCCGACGCUAGUCGGGGUGGAGCCAACGGUGAAAUACCACUCUUGUUGAGUUUUGGUUCUAACCCUAGUGCAAGCUAGGGGACAGUGCCAGGUGGGUAGUUUGACUGGGGCGGUCGCCUCCCAAAAGGUAACGGAGGCGCCCAAAGGUUCCCUCAAGCUGGAUGGAAAUCAGCUGUUGAGUGUAUUGGCAUAAGGGAGCUUGACUGCGAGACUUACAAGUCGAGCAGGGACGAAAGUCGGGCAAAGUGAUCCUACGGUUCUGUAUGGAAGGGCCGUGGCUUAUCGGAUAAAAGCUACCCCGGGGAUAACAGGCUGAUCUUGCCCAAGAGUUCACAUCGACGGCAAGGUUUGGCACCUCGAUGUCGGCUCAUCGCAUCCUGGGGCUGGAGAAGGUCCCAAGGGUUGGGCUGUUCGCCCAUUAAAGCGGUACGUGAGCUGGGUUCAGACCGUCGUGAGACAGGUCGGUCUCUAUCUGUCGUGGGCGUAGGAGAUUUGAGGGGAGCUCCCCGUAGUACGAGAGGAUCCGGGGGGACAGACCUCUGGUGUGCCAGUUGUCGCGCCAGCGGCAUCGCUGGGUAGCUAUGUCUGGAUGGGAUAAGCGCUGAAAGCAUCUAAAGUGCGAAGCCCACCCCAAGAUUAGAUCUCCCACUGGAUAACCAGGUAAGACCGCAAGAAGACUACUUGCUUGAUAGGCAGCGGGUGUAAGCGGAGUAAUCCGUUCAGCUAAGCUGUACUAAUGGUCGAGGGCUUGACCUU
rnacentral:rRNA from 1 species